ACUCUGUGAGCCAUUGCUCCCUGGCUCCCUACUGGGUAAGAUGAGGUCAAUGCCAAUGACUCAGUUGAAUCCUGCCGUCCAGGAAUGUGCAGUGUGCAAGUAUAACAAUGACCUCUACAAAAUAGCAAAUGCAUCAUAUUAAAAGGCUGCUACCUGCAUAGCAAGGAGACCAGGUCUGAGUUAUGUGUCACCAUCGCAGAACCAGAGAAGAGCCCAGUGUCUGGUACCACAGCUGACACGAUCAAUGUCAAGUGAGUGAGGGGAGGCUGUUGCGGUGCCAGCAGGAGGUGCCAGGGCCCUGCUUAUUGAAUCAAAAUGACCAGCACAGGAGCACCUGUUCUUGCUGCUGAUGGGAAAGGUGGCAGGCAAGCUGGAGGCCAAGGUUGAAUUGCAGUGGGCACCUGCUCUUCUGGGACAGGAAGAGAGUCAGAGCGAGACAGGAUGGUAUUGGUCAGAAAAGGUGAAGAGUAAACAACGCAGGGAGGCUGAAAGCUCUUCCGGGACAGGAAGAGAGUCAGAGCGAGACGGGAUGGUAUUGGUCAGAAAAGGUGAAGAGCAAACAACGCAAGGAGGCUGACAGCUCUUCCCUUUGACUCUGAGCAUCGCUUCUUCACCACGUUCUAAGAAUCGACCAGAGAAGCUGGCUUGUCUGACAGCUCCUGUUGCAGAAAACCAUAGGCCCCAAAAAUGGAUAAAUUAACAAACAAGGAGAGCAGAAUUCACAAGAUGAUCUUGUCCACCUCUCUAAUUCCACAGAUGGAAAAAACAGAGACCUCGCAGUGAUGCUAAACUCCACCGAGGACAUCUCAGACCAAUGCCACCAAAGCCUGUGAACUGACUGAGGGAGUUGCAACAUGGGCCCACCAUAGAACGCGAACGCAAAUAGAUGUGGACAGCGUAUUCACUAGUCUCCUCUUCAAUAGCAUCUACCAUCAUCAGAAGAUUUUGCUCCCUCUACUUGGAUAUCUCAGAAAUGAAUUGCCCAGGCUGUACCCACCAAGCAGCUGAAUGUCAGUAAGCCAGCCAACAGAAGAUCCUGCUCAUGAGAAAGUAAUUCAUAAACCAGAGCCUCUUGCAGAAAGCAAAGUUGAAAAUCAGAAGUUUACACAGAGAAAGAAAGAAAUCUG
rnacentral:lncRNA from 1 species